CAUUCUGAAUUUCACUAUGUGUGACGAUGUUGAAAAAACCAAAUCUCUGACAGAUGCCACCAGAAGAUCAACAUACUUGCUGCUGAGAUGACAGAAACACAUGGGACAUCCCCCCCCAAAAGUGUCAGAGUGAUGUAUGCACAGGGGAUAGUAGCUUUGUUUCCCUAUCUAGAAGACCCAUACUCACAACAUGGAUAUGAACAUUGCUACGAUCCGGAGAGUGGUUCCGGAUACCUUGCAUGGCGAUUGAAGACCAUACAAAGAAAAACAGCAGAGGAAAGAGGUGCCUCAGUCAGCAAAUCUCCUAAAGUUGGUGGGCCAGGCCGUGGUCGUCAGCCCUUCACCUAUGACAGAGAGCCAUCUGAUGAGGAUGUGGAAGCAGCUAUUGCUGUUUUGAGACACUGCUGAUGAAAACACUGUCCGUUAGAAGAUGAAAAUGACCUUCGUAUAUCGGCAAGCAAUGGUCAACGAUGAAGCCAAAUCAUCAGAUGUCUUCUCGGUCUUCCCAAGAUUUCUGGACACACCAGGACUGGUAUG